rnacentral:tRNA from 1 species
UCCGGGGUCGGGUAAUCGGUAGCCCGCCUGCCUGUUAAGCAGGAACGGUGUGGGUUCGAGUCCCACCUCCGGAGCCA